rnacentral:tRNA from 143 species
GCCCUUGUAGCUCAGCUGGUAGAGCAGCGGUUUUGUAAACCGAAGGUCGCGGGUUCGAUCCCUGCCGGGGGCACCA